rnacentral:lncRNA from 10 species
CCUUGCAGUUUGAUCUCAGACUGCUGUGCUAGCAAUCAGCGAGACUCCGUGGGCGUAGGACCCUCCGAGCCAGGUGCGGGAUGUAAUCUCGUGGUGGGCCGUUUUUUAAGCCCGUCGGAAAAGCGCAGUAUUCGGGUGGGAGUGACCCGAUUUUCCAGGUGCCGUCCGUCACCCCUUUCUUUGACUAGGAAAGGGAACUCCCUGACCCCUUGCGCUUCCCUAGUGAGGCAAUGCCUCGCCCUGCUUCGGCUUGCGCACGGUGCGCGCACCCACUGACCUGCGCCCACUGUCUGGCACUCCCUAGUGAGAUGAACCCGGUACCUCAGAUGGAAAUGCAGAAAUCACCUGUCUUCUGCGACGCUCACACUGGGAGCUGUAGACCGGAGCUGUUCCUAUUCGGCCAUCUUGGCUCCUCCCCAGGAAAAAAUUUCUUAAAGUUGUUUUCUCCACUUUUCUGAUGCUGAUCAAAUUUGAAUUCCCACAUCAUAUUUAUGUAUCUCAAGUAUAUUUGACAAACAGAUGCUGUACUGUAUCUCAGAUGGAGAAACGGUGGAUACAGAUGGCCAGCUGUAAAUCUCUUUUCUUUCUAAAGUAUCUAAUCGGUCGUAUUCCAUUAUGGCAGCAGAAAAUGGACUAAGACAAGAUACAAUUUCCAAAAUCCAGACUGUACAAAACAUGGGACCAUCAACCUAGUUUAUCCAACAAAAAAUUGCAAGAAAAAAAAGAUAUGAGUGAACUAAGACUUAAAAAAAGGAAACCAAUUGCUACGUACAGAUCUUAUUUGGAUUCUGAUCCAACACAUCACAGAAAUGCAGAUAUGAGACACGGAAAUUUGAAUAUUGACUAAAUUUUAACAAUACUGAAAAAUUGUUGUUUUACAUGUGAUAUUAGUAUUAUUAUUUUUGGCAGUAAAUACUGAGAUAUUUGCAGAUUACACGUUAGGAAAUUAUGGAUUUGUUUCAAAAUAAGAAAGUAGCACGGGCUGGGGAGGGU